rnacentral:rRNA from 1 species
AUUGAACGCUGGCGGCAGGCCUAACACAUGCAAGUCGAGCGGAUGAAGGGAGCUUGCUCCUGGAUUCAGCGGCGGACGGGUGAGUAAUGCCUAGGAAUCUGCCUGGUAGUGGGGGAUAACGUCCGGAAACGGGCGCUAAUACCGCAUACGUCCUGAGGGAGAAAGUGGGGGGUCUUCGGACCUCACGCUAUCAGAUGAGCCUAGGUCGGAUUAGCUAGUUGGUGGGGUAAAGGCCUACCAAGGCGACGAUCCGUAACUGGUCUGAGAGGAUGAUCAGUCACACUGGAACUGAGACACGGUCCAGACUCCUACGGGAGGCAGCAGUGGGGAAUAUUGGACAAUGGGCGAAAGCCUGAUCCAGCCAUGCCGCGUGUGUGAAGAAGGUCUUCGGAUUGUAAAGCACUUUAAGUUGGGAGGAAGGGCAGUAAGUUAAUACCUUGCUGUUUUGACGAUACCAACAGAAUAAGCACCGGCUAACUUCGUG